rnacentral:lncRNA from 1 species
UUAGCCUUCUAUUUUUUUCUUCCUCUUAUCCUUCUAUUUUUUCAUUCCUUUUUUUUCUUUUCUAUUUUCUUUUUCUAUUUUUUUCUUUUUCUGCCAACUUCUGAAAUAUUACAAACAUAAUUAUUCAACUCCAAACAAGACUCUUUCAACCCUUUGAAUAGGGUGAUAACAUUGUUUUUCACUUCUCGGCUUGUAAUGAGUUUUAAACAAAAAAGGGAGAAUAGGCUCAAGGGGGUUUCAAACAAGGGAUGAAAUUAUUUCAGGGUUGACUUU